UACGGAGGGUGCAAGCGUUGUCCGGAUUUAUUGGGUUUAAAGGGUGCGUAGGCGGCUUAUUAAGUCAGGGGUGAAAGACUGCAGCUCAACUGUAGCAGUGCCUUUGAUACUGAUGAGCUUGAGUACAGAUGAGGCUGGCGGAAUGGGUGGUGUAGCGGUGAAAUGCAUAGAUACCAUCCAGAACACCGAUUGCGAAGGCAGCCGGCUAAACUGUAACUGACGCUGAGGCACGAAAGCGUGGGGAUCGAACAGGAUUAGAAACCCUGUAGUCC
rnacentral:rRNA from 1 species